rnacentral:rRNA from 1 species
UACGGAGGGUGCAAGCGUUAUCCGGAUUCACUGGGUUUAAGGGGUGCGUAGGAGGGCAGGUAAGUCAGUGGUGAAAUCUCCAAGCUUAACUUGGAAACUGCCGUUGAUACUAUCUGUCUUGAAUAUUGUGGAGGUGAGCGGAAUAUGUCAUGUAGCGGUGAAAUGCUUAGAUAUGACAUAGAACACCAAUUGCGAAGGCAGCUCACUACUCAAUCAUUGACUCUGAGGCACGAAAGCGUGGGGAUCAAACAGG